GACGAACGCUGGCGGCGUGCCUAAUACAUGCAAGUAGAACGCUGAAGAGAGGAGCUUGCUCUUCUUGGAUGAGUUGCGAACGGGUGAGUAACGCGUAGGUAACCUGCCUUGUAGCGGGGGAUAACUAUUGGAAACGAUAGCUAAUACCGCAUAACAAUAGGUGACACAUGUCAUUUAUUUGAAAGGGGCAAUUGCUCCACUACAAGAUGGACCUGCGUUGUAUUAGCUAGUAGGUGAGGUAACGGCUCACCUAGGCGACGAUACAUAGCCGACCUGAGAGGGUGAUCGGCCACACUGGGACUGAGACACGGCCCAGACUCCUACGGGAGGCAGCAGUAGGGAAUCUUCGGCAAUGGGGGCAACCCUGACCGAGCAACGCCGCGUGAGUGAAGAAGGUUUUCGGAUCGUAAAGCUCUGUUGUAAGUCAAGAACGAGUGUGAGAGUGGAAAGUUCACACUGUGACGGGAGCUUACCAGAAAGGGACGGCUAACUACGU
rnacentral:rRNA from 1 species